CGAUCAACGGCUAAGAUUAAAUCAUCCUUUUCUUCCCUUUUAAACAAAAGCAAGACCAAACCCUAACAUAUUCUACAAACAAACGCAUCUACCUUCACUCUCAUCUCUCUCUGCCAGCAGCCAUGGCUGCCGCUGACCGCCACCUCUUCCACCACAGGCGCAACCAUGGCUGGCGAAGCCUCCUCUCUCCCUAUACCCUUCUUUUCUCUCUCUUUGUUUCCCACCGGAGAAACGAGCCACCAUCACCAACAGCCCUCUUCGUCAGCCUCCACCGUUCUCCGGCCAACAGACGCUACAGCUCCCGCCAGCCCAUCCAACCGCUGCUACCGGCGUAAAUAGCGGUAAGCGGCGCAUCCCUCAAUGCCAGAGUAGCCGACGCCUCUCAACCAACGAACCCCAUGCUGCCACCAUCGACCAAAAUAGCCGCCAACACCCAAUUCGCCCUGGCUAUCAACACGGACAAAGACAACCAGCGGGCACUGUCUGGUUUAAACUUUGCCAAAAAAUAUUGCAAUUAAUGACAGAUUGAAUCCGUCCCAGCAUCAAGCAAUUUAGUACAAGCGGCCUCUUGUGGUGGAGAGGUCUUGCUCGGCUGUUGGAAGUUAAAGGAUUUGUUAAAUGUUGAACGCUCAUCUCAAGAAGACAACCAAGAGGAUGAAAGUGAUGAUGACUCUGACGAUGUGAAUGAAAGUGAUUCUAAUCUUGAUAAUAUGGAUGGAAGUGAUUCUGACCUUGAUGGUUGGUAGUUUUAUUGAGGAUUCAAGUUUGAAAUAUUUUAUUUUGGACUAUUUAAGAAUCAUACGUUAUUGAUAUGGAUGUUUUGAAAUAUGUUUUUGUUAGCUGUAAUGAUUUACAUUAUACUUGUAUUGAAUGAUGUUUUUGUGACUUAUUGAAGGGUUUGAAUAAAUUUUUGAUUAAUUGUGAA